rnacentral:rRNA from 1 species
CACGUAGGCACCAAGCGUUGUCCGGAUUUAUUGGGCGUAAAGAGCUCGUAGGCGGUUCAGUAAGUCGGGUGUGAAAACUCUGGCUCAACCCAGAGACGCCACCCGAUACUGCUGUGACUUGAGUACGGUAGGGGAGUGGGGAAUUCCUGGUGUAGCGGUGAAAUGCGCAGAUAUCAGGAGGAACACCAAUGGCGAAGGCAGCUCGCUGGAACGGUACUGACGCUGAGGCGCGAAAGCGUGGGGAGCGAACAGG